rnacentral:rRNA from 1 species
AUUGAACGCUGGCGGCAUGCUUUACACAUGCAAGUCGAACGGUAACAGGGAGCUUGCUCCGCUGACGAGUGGCGAACGGGUGAGUAAUGCAUCGGAACGUGCCGUGUAAUGGGGGAUAACGUAGCGAAAGUUACGCUAAUACCGCAUACGCCCUGAGGGGGAAAGUGGGGGACCGCAAGGCCUCACGUUAUACGAGCGGCCGAUGUCGGAUUAGCUAGUUGGUGGGGUAAAGGCCUACCAAGGCGACGAUCCGUAGCGGGUCUGAGAGGAUGAUCCGCCACACUGGGACUGAGACACGGCCCAGACUCCUACGGGAGGCAGCAGUGGGGAAUUUUGGACAAUGGGGGGCAACCCUGAUCCAGCCAUGCCGCGUGAGUGAAGAAGGCCUCGGUUGUAAAGCUCUUUCAGGUGGAAAGAAAUACGCAUCUUUAAUACAGGGUGUGGAUGACGGUACCAUCAGAAGAAGACACCGGCUAACUACGUGCCAGCAG